rnacentral:rRNA from 1 species
GACGUAGGGCGCGAGCGUUGUCCGGAUUUAUUGGGCGUAAAGAGCUCGUAGGCGGUGUGUCACGUCGGCCGUGAAAACCUGCAGCUUAACUGUGGGCGUGCGGUCGAUACGGGCAUCACUGGAGUUCGGCAGGGGAGACUGGAAGUUCCUGGUGUAGCGGUGAAAUGCGCAGAUAUCAGGAGGAACACCGGUGGCGAAGGCGGUUCUCUGGGCCUGUACUGACGCUGAGGAGCGAAAGCGUGGGGAGCGAACAGG